UACGUAGGGUGCAAGCGUUAAUCGGAAUUACUGGGCGUAAAGCGUGCGCAGGCGGUGAUGUAAGACAGAUGUGAAAUCCCCGGGCUCAACCUGGGAACUGCAUUUGUGACUGCAUCGCUGGAGUGCGGCAGAGGGGGGAUGGAAUUCCGCGUGUAGCAGUGAAAUGCGUAGAUAUGCGGAGGAACACCGAUGGCGAAGGCAAUCCCCUGGGCCUGCACUGACGCUCAUGCACGAAAGCGUGGGGAGCAAACAGA
rnacentral:rRNA from 1 species